GCAAGUCGAGCGAAUGGAUUAAGAGCUUGCUCUUAUGAAGUUAGCGGCGGACGGGUGAGUAACACGUGGGUAACCUGCCCAUAAGACUGGGAUAACUCCGGGAAACCGGGGCUAAUACCGGAUAACAUUUUGAACCGCAUGGUUCGAAAUUGAAAGGCGGCUUCGGCUGUCACUUAUGGAUGGACCCGCGUCGCAUUAGCUAGUUGGUGAGGUAACGGCUCACCAAGGCAACGAUGCGUAGCCGACCUGAGAGGGUGAUCGGCCACACUGGGACUGAGACACGGCCCAGACUCCUACGGGAGGCAGCAGUAGGGAAUCUUCCGCAAUGGACGAAAGUCUGACGGAGCAACGCCGCGUGAGUGAUGAAGGCUUUCGGGUCGUAAAACUCUGUUGUUAGGGAAGAACAAGUGCUAGUUGAAUAAGCUGGCACCUUGACGGUACCUAACCAGAAAGCCACGGCUAACUACGUGCCAGCAGCCGCGGUAAUACGUAGGUGGCAAGCGUUAUCCGGAAUUAUUGGGCGUAAAGCGCGCGCAGGUGGUUUCUUAAGUCUGAUGUGAAAGCCCACGGCUCAACCGUGGAGGGUCAUUGGAAACUGGGAGACUUGAGUGCAGAAGAGGAAAGUGGAAUUCCAUGUGUAGCGGUGAAAUGCGUAGAGAUAUGGAGGAACACCAGUGGCGAAGGCGACUUUCUGGUCUGUAACUGACACUGAGGCGCG
rnacentral:rRNA from 3 species